CCUUGGUGGUUUUUUCUCCAAACCCAGGGCCCCAACAAAAGACCCAGUCGACAGUAGGGAUCCGCCGUAGCUGUGAGAGCUCAGGCUGGGGGUGCCCCGACCAAACGGUAACCCUAGGUUUUUCAAAGGUCAUUUCCCGGGACCUGCAUGUUGUUUAGGUCGACCAGAGACAAGGGUCUUACCUGGAAUGUCCAGUGGUGGGUGCGGAGAGGGUGUUCAGCAGAAGGGAGGGCCUGGUCCCAUGAUGAAUUCUGAUCGGGGCCCAGGGACACUCAAAGAGGGGAACAGGCACAUCAGGGAACCUAAUCCAGGGUUUCAGCACCAAAAUGAAGGGAAAGCAAGGAACAAGAGACGGGUAAGUGAGAAAUGAAAGACAGAGACCAGGCGGAGAUCCACAGGAGAGUUCAUCUGUCAGAGCUGACCCAUAAAGGCCGUCUCUCCAUGGGAGAGAGGCAGCACAGGCUUGGGUUCUGGCACUUUUAUGGGGCAGGCUCAGGAAUCAGAGCCAGGCAGGUCCUAAUGCGGGUGGUUAGGGGUGGGGUUGGUAUGAGGGUGUGGUGAGCCUUUCUCAGAAAUGGCCUUGGGCAGGAAAGUGAAACUUUUUAAUUAAAACACUGGCUGUCACUUAAGAUGGCCGUCCAGAUGCUAAGCAAGGACUUACAAUCAGGACUCAGGCUCCUGCCAGCUCAUGGCUCUUGCCUUCAAGAGCGUGUGGCCCUUCACCAGAGAUUCCAAAAUGGCUGCAAGAUUUCUUGCCAUCACAUCUUCCAUCCAGGCUGCCGAGUGGAGGAAGGACCAAAGAAGAGCAACCUCUGUCCAUUCCUGGACAUCCCACUUCGUAUAUCUACUUACUUUUCGUUGAUCACAUGACCAUAUCUAGCUGCAGUCAACUUUGGGAGGUAUCUUUUAGCUGAGCUGCAAUAUGACCAGGUAAUGUAGGAGCUCUUCUGGGUGACCCUUGGUGCAUGCAUGUAAUCCCAGAGACUCAGGAGGCUGAGGCAGGAGGAUCACAAGUUCAAGGCCAGCCUUGACAGCUUAGGAUGCUGCGUAUCCAAAUACA
rnacentral:lncRNA from 1 species